CGGAUCGCAACUAAUAAUCGCGAUCCAAUAUUUUGUAUAAAGAACCCUGGUUUUACAAAUAAGCCCAUACCCUCCUGGCCUCCUCCUUGAGAUGGGCAGCAGCUCCUUCCUUCCUCCCCUCUCCUCGGCGAUCCGCCGCCUCCAGGGGCCGCCGCCCUCUCUCUCCCUGCAAGCGCAAGGCUUGACCAAUCCAUCCCCUGCCCGUCCUCAAGCCCUAGCUUCAGCUCUUCAAUCACCGGGCCCCGCGCCGAAGGUCUGAAUGAAGCUCGCGACAUUCACCUCAUCCGAGCCGAGGUAAGCGUACGCCUCGCCGGCCCGCCGUGCUGGAACGAGACGAGCGCUCCGGUGGCGUCGUGCUGGCGACUUCCGGCGGCGGCGGGUGGUUACUGAAGUUGUUUCAUCCUAUAUCUCUGAAAGCAGUGGCACUAUGCUAGCUGACAACGCCGUCCUCUGUCCCGGCGACCUUUGUUCCUCAUCACGGUCCAGGCGCCCCGGCGCUGGCCCCUGCAUGCUCGCUCAAUCAUCCAACAGCCCAAUAGAGGAGGGAGAGGGUUGGUGAGCAGAGCUGAACUCUCUCUCUAUAUAGAUGUCCACAAUAAAGAAAGUGCUCCUCCUCAGCUCUCAAGAGGUUUUACACUCGACCACGAAUCCACGAUGAGGAGUCGCCCUUUGGUCCGAUGAGAUCUACGGAUGCAGUUUACCACAACAGCCAGACAGUCAAGCUUUGUGGGGGCGGUGAACAUCUAUCUUAUCUGUCAAGAUAGCCUGCUCUGAUGUUGGCUACCCAGUCGAAGUACAUGACACUGUUGUCAUUGCAACAGACAGCAUCAACGGUUUGCUGUGAUUGAUCUGAAAAUCAAGGCUCGUGGAGGGCAGGACAGAGAACUCAGUAAGGAGCCGUUCGGUUCUCCAGGAAUGACUGCAUGGAACGAUUCCAGGCCGGAACUGUUAGCUAAUUUAUAUAAGCUUCAACUCACUGGAAGGAUUCCUGAUCUCGUUCCGGUCUAACCGAACGAGCCCUAAAGGAGUCUUCAGAAUCAGGGGCAUAUUAAUAAUAGGUCAGUCAUUGGAGGGAUGCAAGGUUGAAACUUGAAAGCCAAUCUCUCGCGACACGGUUCAGUACUAUGGAUAUGACGUAUGCGGUUGUCAAGGGUACAGCGGAGGCAACUCUUCCAAAACUGUACAUGAUCUAUUUGAUCAUGGACAGUGUGCACGCAGGGCGGGGGCACGCAAGGACGCGGGCACUAUGGAUCGACACGACACACGCCGGCCGGCGAGUGCCCACGGGAACGGGCCCAUUUUUUUGUAGUGACCAACAGCUAUUGCAAAUUGUGGGCCUUCCCUUUUAGGCCCAUGGAACGGAACCAGCAGCCUGGUCGUGUGAUUCGUGAACCGGCAGUUUUUUCUUUUUCUUUUUUUCUCUGCUCUUCGCCAGGCACCU